CCUACGGGAGACAGCAGUGGGGAAUAUUGGGCAAUGGGCGCAAGCCUGACCCAGCAACGCCGCGUGAAGGAAGAAGGCUUUCGGGUUGUAAACUUCUUUUAAGGGGGAAGAGCAGAAGACGGUACCCCUUGAAUAAGCCACGGCUAACUACGUGCCAGCAGCCGCGGUAAUACGUAGGUGGCAAGCGUUGUCCGGAUUUACUGGGUGUAAAGGGCGUGCAGCCGGAGAGACAAGUCAGAUGUGAAAUCCACGGGCUCAACCCGUGACCUGAAUUUGAAACUGUUUCCCUUGAGUGUCGGAGAGGUAAUCGGAAUUCCUUGUGUAGCGGUGAAAUGCGUAGAUAUAAGGAAGAACACCAGUGGCGAAGGCGGAUUACUGGACGAUAACUGACGGUGAGGCGCGAAAGCGUGGGGAGCAAACAGGAUUAGAUACCCGAGUAGUC
rnacentral:rRNA from 1 species